rnacentral:rRNA from 1 species
UACGAAGGGGGCUAGCGUUGUUCGGAAUUACUGGGCGUAAAGCGCACGUAGGCGGACUAUUAAGUCAGGGGUGAAAUCCCGGAGCUCAACUCCGGAACUGCCUUUGAUACUGGUCGUCUAGAGAUCGGAAGAGGUGAGUGGAAUUCCCAGUGUAGAGGUGAAAUUCGUAGAUAUUGGGAAGAACACCAGUGGCGAAGGCGGCUCACUGGUCCGAUACUGACGCUGAGGUGCGAAAGCGUGGGGAGCAAACAGG